UUUUGUUGUUUUUGUGUUAGAUUUUUUGUUGUUGUUGUGUUGCUCUGUUCUGGGUUCUUCGCUUAGCAAUUGGCUUGUGGUUAAGUAUUUUCUUUAGUUUAAAGCUCUUGAAUCUAGGAAGAAGGAAAUCUAAGAUUCGUGAAAUAGAUAUUGGUUGUAUAAUGUUGGAUCUGCUUCUUGCUGUUUAGUUCAGAAAACGUAAACUGCUUUGUUGAUUCAUCAAGUUAUUUGGUUUGGUGUUUAUGUGUUAAAAGACUGACAAAGCUAUUGAGAGAUGCAGAGAACUUCGUUAGGCUUUAUGAUGAUAGCAAAGUAUUAAAUUUAAACUCCAAAACACUUACUUUAAUUUCUUAUGCCAUUAGUCAAAUAAAAUGCAGAAAUACCAUAACUUUUAUGAAAAUAACUAUUUUAUCUACUUUUUUUUACAAUUACAAAAAAUGGUUUUAAAGAUUAAAUUUAGGGUUUAGGGUUAGAGUUAGGGUUUAUGUUUAGGGUUUAGGUCAUAUUAAUAUUUUAAAACUUAAAACACUAAAUCCUAAAUAUAAAGUAUAAUCUAAAAUUUUCAAAUUUUAUUUUAAAUCUUACUUUUAGUCUAUAUUCCAAACUUCAAGCUUUACAACCAAAUAUAUUUUUAAUACUUAAACUCUAAACUUCACCCUAAAUCAUAUACCAUAGCCCCUAAGCUUAAACCCUACAUACAAAGUCAUAAAUCUUAUCUUUUCAAACUUAUAACAUAAAUCUAAUUAAUCUUUCAAUUCUAGUUUUAAAAUUUUAAUGUCAAACCCUUAACCCUAAUCACAUAUCAUUUCAUUUUUCUUGAUAUUCACUUUACAAAGGUGUGGAUCACCUUUCAUUUUAAUGUUAAAGUAUAUACAUUUUUAAUCCUAAAAUUUAAAUUAUAGAUUAUUUUGUUUUUUUUUCAUAUUAUAGCUUCCAAACAUUUAAACUAAACCAUUAAGAAAGAAAAAAAAAGUACAAAAACAAAGGAAAAAAACUCACUAGUUAAUAAAUAAAUAUUUGGAUUGCAAAUAUGAGCCAAUUAGAUACAAGUGUGUGGAUCACAAUCUUGGUCAUUCAUUAAACUGAAUCUAAAGGUCCCCAAUCGUUCUCUUCUGAUUGGUUCAUUUAGAAAAAUGGGAUCACCCAUAUUUAAUCAUGGCCGUUGAUGAGUAUCGAUCUAAAAGCUUAAAUUAACCUACUUUAAUUAAUUGUUUUUAAUUUUUUUCUUCUUUCUCUCCUCGAGACUUGAUCUUUUCUCUUCUCUCUUUCUCUAGUUCGCCCUAAAGUUCGUCUUUCUAUUGUUAGUUCAUCUCUGUUAGGCUCUUUUCUGUACUCUAGAUUCCUUUUCUCUGGAGGGUUUAGAUCUUUGGUUUGGAGGCGAGUGGAGACGCGUGGAGAGGAACUCCUUCUCCUGGGGGUUUGAUUAGUCGGAUCCCACUGGCUCAGAUGUGCUUUUGUCUGUAUUAGGUCUCCUUUGACCGGAUUUCUUUGAUAAACUGAAGAUCUGCUUUUCUCUCCAUCUCUCUCGACGGUUGGAUGAUGUUACUCUCAUCAAAUGAGAAAUCCUAUAAGAUUCUGCCUUUAUACAGAUCUUAUCCAAGCACAAGCUUGUACAUGAGGUGCUUUUUGGUCUUCUAUUAACAACGACAAGUACUUGUGGUCGUGGUCUCGGCGUCAACAAUGGUGGUCUCGGCAUCAGCAGUGGUGGUCUCGACUUCGUCAGUGGUCGUCUCGACUUCGUCAGUGGUCGUCUCGACUUCGUCAAUGGUAGCUUAGCGCGGUGGAGGAGGCUGAAUAAGCUUUACUGUGUGGUGUUCUUGGCUGGUGGUGUCGGCCUCAAAGAUGAAGAAUAUGAAGGAGUUGAAGUUGACGGCAAAAAGUUUAGAUGUAGGGUUAAUUUUUUUAUUAGGUUAAUCUUUUUAGGUUUACAUUUGCAAACCGGGUUUUGUAAAGCAGAAUUUAUUUGUAAACCAUAAUUAAUUAUAUUUGGUGGUUUAAUUUUUAAUUAA